rnacentral:rRNA from 1 species
UACGAAGGGGGCUAGCGUUGCUCGGAAUCACUGGGCUUAAAGGGAGCGUAGGCGGGCUGCCAAGUCCGGGGUGAAAUCCUCCAGCUUAACUGGAGAACUGCCUCGGAUACUGGAAGUCUCGAGGAGGGUAGGGGCAAGUGGAACCGUGGGUGGAGCGGUGAAAUGCGUUGAUAUCCAUGGGAAUUCCGGUGGCGAAGGCGACUUGCUGGACCCUUUCUGACGCUGAGGCUCGAAAGCCAGGGGAGCAAACGGG